rnacentral:rRNA from 1 species
CAGCCGCCGCGGGAAUACGUAGGGUGCAAGCGUUAAUCGGAAUUACUGGGCGUAAAGCGUGCGCAGGCGGUUUUGUAAGACAGAGGUGAAAUCCCCGGGCUCAACCUGGGAACUGCCUUUGUGACUGCAAGGCUAGAGUACGGCAGAGGGGGAUGGAAUUCCGCGUGUAGCAGUGAAAUGCGUAGAUAUGCGGAGGAACACCGAUGGCGAAGGCAAUCCCCUGGGCCUGUACUGACGCUCAUGCACGAAAGCGUGGGGAGCAAACAGGAUUAGAGACCCGUGUAGUCCCUGUCUCUUAUAC